rnacentral:rRNA from 1 species
AACGCUAGCUACAGGCUUAACACAUGCAAGUCGAGGGGCAGCAUGGUCUUAGCUUGCUAAGGCCGAUGGCGACCGGCGCACGGGUGAGUAACACGUAUCCAACCUGCCGUCUACUCUUGGACAGCCUUCUGAAAGGAAGAUUAAUACAAGAUGGCAUCAUGAGUCCGCAUGUUCACAUGAUUAAAGGUAUUCCGGUAGACGAUGGGGAUGCGUUCCAUUAGAUAGUAGGCGGGGUAACGGCCCACCUAGUCUUCGAUGGAUAGGGGUUCUGAGAGGAAGGUCCCCCACAUUGGAACUGAGACACGGUCCAAACUCCUACGGGAGGCAGCAGUGAGGAAUAUUGGUCAAUGGGCGAGAGCCUGAACCAGCCAAGUAGCGUGAAGGAUGACUGCCCUAUGGGUUGUAAACUUCUUUUAUAAAGGAAUAAAGUCGGGUAUGGAUACCCGUUUGCAUGUACUUUAUGAAUAAGGAUCGGCUAACUCCGUGCCAGCAGCCGCGGUAAUACGGAGGAUCCGAGCGUUAUCCGGAUUUAUUGGGUUUAAAGGGAGCGUAGAUGGAUGUUUAAGUCAGUCGUGAAAGUUUGCGGCUCAACCGUAAAAUUGCAGUUGAUACUGGAUAUCUUGAGUGCAGUUGAGGCAGGCGGAAUUCGUGGUGUAGCGGUGAAAUGCUUAGAUAUCACGAAGAACUCCGAUUG